GGGCCCGUAGUCUAGUUGGUUAUGACGUCGCCUUGACACGGCGGAGGUCCGGAGUUCGAAUCUCCGCGGGCCCA
rnacentral:tRNA from 2 species